UGCACUCCCUGGCCACAGCAGAGAGCUGGCCUGGAAGAGGGGCAACCGGGACAGAAUCCGGCGCCCCGACCGGGACUAGAACCUGGUGUGCUGGCGCCGCAAGGCGGAGGAUUAGCCUAGUGAGCCGCGGCGCUGGCUCAAGUGAAUGUUUUUAACUUUUGAAAGCAUUGGGGAAAUUCAGAUAGGAUUUAACUUUCUAUACGUCUAUAAAGAUGGAGAGUCAGACACGAGCACCUAUUUCAAUGUACUGUUCUCCUGUAUGUCUCUUUCUUUGAACAAGUAUCUUCUGAACACCUAUUAUGGGUGAAAUUGUAUAUAAAGUCAGUAACAUGUGUUACUUUUGAACACCUAUUAAUGGGUGAAAUUUUAGAUAGAGUUAGUAACAUAUGGAAAUCCUUUAUUCAUGAGUGGGUUUUUUUUUUUUUUUUUGCUAUGCUUAAGGGAAAUGAUAAAUUAUCAUGGGAGUAUAAAUGGAUUGCCAUAAUAAGUAGCUUAUAUUCCUCACUUUAAAAACAACCUGUAGCAGGUGCCGCGGCUCACUAGGCUAAUCCUCCACCUUGCGGCGCUGGCACACCGGGUUCUAGUCCCGGUGGGGCGCCGGAUUCUGUCCCGGUUGCCCCUCUUCCAGGCCAGCUCUCUGCUGUGGCCAGGGAGUGCAGUGGAGGAUGGCCCAAGUGCUUGGGCCCUGCACCCCAUGGGAGACCAGGAUAAGUACCUGGCUCCUGCCAUCGGAUCAGCGCGCUGGCCGCGGCGGCCAUUGGAGGGUGAAAAACGGCAAAGGAAGACCUUUCUCUCUGUCUCUCUCUCUCACUGUCCACUCUGCCUGUCAAAAAAAAAACCUGUAAUUUUCUGAGUCCUAGUAAUCAGGCUUUAACAUAUGAACUCAGUGAAGACUUGAUCAAUGUCUUCACUGAGAAAAUAUGUUAUGACCUAACACAUUUUACUAUCUAACAGAAUGUUCUUGGUCAAUAAUCAUAAGUUUAUUACAAUUAUUAAAAUCUGGGGUUUCCUCUCUUGAGAAGAAUGUUGUAGAUGCAGCUGUAUGAGACUGUGCAGAAUCCAGGUGUCAUAAUAGCACAUUCAGCUGGAUUUAUGUCUCUCUCCAAUUAGGAGACAAUCAAGCUCAAAUUAAUUUAGCUCACAACUACUAAUGAGCAACAGCAAAAUCAGCUCAUUAUAAAAACUAUUAGUGGAUUUUAUUUCCUUCAACUUGAUGAACCUCCAUGCACUCUGUGGUUUGGUGGUAAGGGACCUCGAGGGCUGUGUCACCCGACCCCCUGACUAUGGGCCUCACAACAGCUCUGUCCCACUGUGGACUCUAAUGAAUUGUAAGAGGUGCACAGAGAUGGGCUUCCUCUGCUAAACAAUCCUUGAUGGUUGUCUUUGAGUGAACACCUAUAGUCUAGACUGCUGAUGUAAAUACAAUGCAAAUCACAUAAGUAACAAAUUUCUAGUAACCACAUUUUAAAAAGUGAAAAGGAAAUAGAAGAAGAUGUUAGCUUCAAUAUAUUUUGUUAAACUCAUUAUAUCCUAACUGCCAUUCUUUCAAUGUAUACACAAUAUGAAAAUAUUUAUAUGCAUUUUUGUGCUUAGUCUUCAAGAUCUAGCAUGCAUUUUGCAUGUAUAGAACACAUCUCAUUUAGUCCAUCCUCAUUUCAAAUGAAUACUAACUGCCAUACAGAACAGAGCAGGUCUGGACUGUUUCUGCAGUUAUAACAAGCCUCACUUCUCUAUUUGGGGUUUGCAGGUUGAAGGUAGAUGGACUUGGACUUGGAUAAACAGUGGCCAUUAAGAGCACACAAAGACCACCGGCAGGAGAAGAUACUGCAUUUCCAAUGUAUGGUUAGUCAUCCAAGUCAUUGGCAUAUUCAUAAUCUCUGUGAACUGGCUUACAGCUCCUGUCACCAUUCCCACUUCCACACUAAUAAAGGCAGAAGAGAUCCUCAUAAAUAUCCUGUUUCCUCAUUAUCAGAGCUUGACUUCACCAAUUGUGGCCUCAGAACAGAGAAGGUUGUUAUUAUUAUCAUUUGUUGCCACAAAAAUGCAUAUGCAUUUUUGAAACCUGACAUUCAACUAGUGCUGUUGCUUUGCCAUUAACCAGAGUGUGAAGCACAUUGCAAAUAUACAUUUGGGGAAUAAGGAGCCACUGAGUAUUUUAUCUCACUGGCAGUGUUCCUGAAAAAAAAAGUGCAGACUUAAAUCUAGAAGCAUAUUUUAAUUGUUGAAUAUUAUAAAAGUUUAAUACGAAUUCUGAAGCAGGAUGCGAGGGUUCCUUUUGUCAUUGAACUUGAUUACUGCAAACUAGGAGACAUGUAGCUUGAGCCUGGAGCUCAGGCGAUUUCAUUACUUGGAGACCCUCCUACACUAAUGAAAUGUGAUCCUAAGGAGAAGAAGCCAUGGGAGUGGCUGAUGUGAUAGAUGCCUUCUGGACAAAUUAGGCUGUUGGCCAGUGCAUAAUGCCACUCUGACAGGCUUCAGCUUGGCACAGUCUCAUCAUGGAUGUGUCCACUCCCUGUCAUCUCAGAGUUAAUAGGAAGUCACUGGAUUCCUGACCAGUCUUUUUGUUUCUACUGGUACCCUCCUCAAAUUCAUCCUCCUCAUAGCCAUCAGACAGAUAGGUUUAAAAUGCAGGUGGGAUUCCAUCAUUCAGUGCAUAAUGCCACUCUGACAGGCUUCAGCUUGGCACAGUCUCAUCAUGGAUGUGUCCACUCCCUGUCAUCUCAGAGUUAAUAGGAAGUCACUGGAUUCCUGACCAGUCUUUUUGUUUCUACUGGUACCCUCCUCAAAUUCAUCCUCCUCAUAGCCAUCAGACAGAUAGGUUUAAAAUGCAGGUGGGAUUCCAUCAUUCAGAUAAAAAUACCUCAGUGGCUCUGCAUUGCCUUUGGAUGAGACUACAUAUUUCACAGUUGUGAUGUUCAGACUGACCUAUGAUGUGACCCCAAUGUGUGCCCUCUCUUCCCCUCCUCUCCCUCCCCUCCCCUCCCUUCCCUUCCCUUCAGUUCUUCUCUCUGUCAUUGAGUUCAUCCUCUUCCUACUGUGCAGCCUCCUGUUCUUCUAACCAAAUGCUUUCUCCUUUUCCGCUCCUCAGAUUUCUUCCCCAACAAGAAUUUUAGAACACCUCCUUGUAACACUUAAUUCAGCCUUAACUUCCUCCAGGACACCUCUCCCACUCCACUCCAGGCAGGUUAAAUGUCAUUGUCCCUCACUGCUACUACAGUUUCAGCAAAUUGACUGCAUAUCAAUCAUUAUACCAACUUGAGCACCCAGCUACUCUCUAAGUAAUACCUUGCCUUAUUCAUUUUCAUUUUGCUCCUUUUAUUGGAGAGGCAGAGAGACAGAGAUCUCCAUCCACUAAUUUACUCCCCAAAUGCAAUCAAUGGCUGGGCCUGGGCUGGACCAAAGCUGGGGAACCAGGAAAUCAAUCCAAGUCUUCUAUGUGGGUGGUAGAGACCCCAUUUCUUGAGCCAUUAUCACUGCCUCCCAGGGUCUGCCAUAAGCAGGAAACUGGGAUCUGGAGCCAGAGCCCAAACUCAAACCCAGGUCCUCUGAUACAGGGUGCAGGUGUAUCGUAACCACUAGAACAAGCUCCUGCCCCAACUCCACUCAUUUUUUAAGCCUUUGUGCCAAGCUCCAUGCAUGAUGUGCAGCAGGUGCUCAAUGGGUGUCUGAGGGGCUAGACCAGGCCUAGGAAGCAGUAGAUUCUUGGGGUCUAUGCAUUGCCUUUUCUCUCUAUUGACAGAUGAGAUGAGACUUCUGGGUCUACCCCUAAAGAGCUUCAGCCCAGGAAUCUGUUCUCCUGUAAGAAGGGACUGAUGGUAAGGCUGGAGCUUCAGCUCAAUGCUUCCUUUAAGAUCCUUUCUUUGCAUGGUGGCUAAUUGCAUCCCUUGCCUGGCAAUGCAAAAUGUAUUGCCUUGCUUUAGUUGGAUGAGGUCUCAGGACCCUACUAAGAAUGCAGUAUUUGGAAAGUAGGUGUGAUGUGGAGAAAUGAUGCCUGAGGGCUCAGUAAUUUAAUGUCCAAAUUGAUAAUGGGAGCCACUGUAGAAUUUUAAGCAGUAAGCAGGAGAAUCAAGUUUAGCUGCAGGCCUUUGAGCCCAUCCUCACCUGCACAUCUUUCUAUUUUUAUGCCAGUCUCUGGUGGGACAGAAGGAGCCAGAGACAGGACCUGAAUCAGCAAGGAACUACAUGUUGUGAGUAGAAGAAAAUUCAAAGAACAGUGACUUAAACCAGAUAGGGGGUUGUUUUGUUCUGUACCUCACAAGAAGCCUAGGGAGGGCCAUUCAGGUAGUGCAGUAUAUCUCAGUGUUAUCAGUGUGUGUUCUGUACUCCAUUGUCUUGGCACAUGGACUUAGUCCUCAUCAUCACAGGAUGACUUUGACCUUCAAACAGCAACUAGGGGGAAAGGUGAGGACCAAGAGCAAGAUACUGACUCUAUUUCUGUUCAGCCACCUACAAACCUCUCUUUGCACCUCAAUCACGUGGACACUAUGGCAUGGGCACUGCUAGGUAUGGAGGAGCAGUCACCCCCAGCAAACUACGAGUUCUGUAAUAAAGAGGAAAGCAUAGAUACUGGGUGAACAAAAGGCCUUAACACUGUGACUUCCCAGUGACUUCCUGUGAGUUCCAUUUUAUUUUCCUCAGGGCACUUAAUGCUCUCUGAAAUUAUAUUUGCACACAACUGAUUUCACCAGACUGGUUGCCUCAUCUCCAUCUCUGGGAUUAUUUUUCCUUCUUUCACUCUUGUUGAGUAAAUUAGCCAACAUGACACUGAUACUGAUUAGCAAUUUGCGUAGUACUAAAGAAAAUUAGCAGAAUUUAGUUGUUUUGUUCUUCAACUCUUAAUUUCCAUUUUUAGUGUACUGUGUCUUCAGUCAUCUGGUAGGAUUUCCUACUCUGUACUUGUCUUUAAUGGAACACAGGGUUCUCUCCCCACUCUCCUAAUUAUGAACACUGAAGAGCUAAUUCAAUUAUGUGGUCAUUUUAGGAUAGUUUUGGCUUUUCCCCACCUUGUCAAAAGUUGCUGGUGUCAGUGUGACCCAAAUGUACCAUGGGCUUGUUGCUCUACUUUCAAAGCCUUCCCCAUGUCCUCCAUACACUGUGGGACUUUGAGUUCCUGUCUAUGUGGGGCCAUCUCUGCCCUGUGGCCAACUCCAUACUGUGAUGUACAUGUUCAUCCCAUAUGACCCCUUCUCUAGGAAGUCCCUCAUUUGUGCCCUCUUGAGGCUCCCAUCUUAACCAAGUUAUGCCUCUGCAAACACAUUUAUUCCUCCAUCAUGAGAUUGCUCAUUUAUUUGUUUGCCAGAGUUGCUGGAGAGAAGGGGCUUUAUCUGAUCUCUUUCUGCCUCCCUCAGCCCCUUUGAGAGCAUGGCAGACAUCAAGAAAUGUUUACUUAAUGAGGGAUUGUGAAGAUCUGAGUAAUAAGAAAAGCCAACAUCCAAAUGUAUUCUGCACAACAGGCACUCUGUUGCUUUGAAUGUAUUUAUGCAGUUGAUCUUUACAACUUCCCUGUGGAAUAAGGACUCUAAUCUUGAUUGCAUGGAUGAGAGAACUAUGAAAGAGAGAGAGUGAGUGGUCAUUCUAAGGUUACAUGGACAAUAGGGGAGGGAGCAAGGUCUGACUCCAGGCAGAGUGGAGGCGGAGCCCUCCUGCUUGGCCCCUGCAUUGUGCUGCCUUCUCCUUUGAGGUGAGGUCACCACUGCUGUCCAUGACAGCUGGGUGAGGAAGGAGAGCCUGCUCUGUCUGUCACAGGGGCAUCCAUCUGGGGAUACCAGGCUACUGCUCUUUUCACUCCAGCAACAACUAAGACUAGAAAGAAAUGCAAACACCAGGAAACUGAAUUGAGAGGGGCUUUCCUCAAUGUCCAGGGAUUGUCUGGUAGCUCCUAUGUCAGUUUAUGCUUUUCUUGGGCCUCUGCCUAGGGCCACCAAUAUGCUGGGUGAAGGAGGACUGCCUCCACACAGGAUGGAGCCCCCCAAAGGUACUGCCAUAAGCAGCUUUGCCACCAUUCACCCAUGUGACAGGUUACUCUGAGACAUGUAAGACACAGAUGCCUGUCACUGCAGAAGGCAGCUUGAAUCUGUGUUGCUGCCAGGAAUCUUGAAGAAAAAAACCAGGGUAGUGGGAGGAGAGAAGGGACUGAAAUUAGGCUUUCACCUAUUCAUUUUUACAACUCUGCACACUAAAACAAGGGAAAAAAGAAGAGAAAAAGACAUUUUAAAAAGAUUUAUGUAUUUAUUUGAAAGGCAGAGUUACAGAGAGAGAGAGAAAGAGAAAUCUUCCAUCUGAUGGUUCACUCCACAAAUGGCUGCAAUGACCAAAGUUGGGCCUAUCCAAAGCCAGGAGUCUGGAAGCUUCUUCAGGUCUCCCAGGUGGGUGCAGGGGCCCAAGGACCCAGGCCAUCUUCUACUGCUUUCCCAGGCCAUAGCAGAGAGCAGAAAUGGAGCAUCCGUGACUCAAACCAGUGCCCAUAUGGGAUGACUGCACUGCAGGUGGCAGCCUUACCUGUUAUGUCACAGCACUGGCCCCAGAAAAAGACAUUUCUUGCCACUAUCACUUCACAAGAGCAUUUUAACUCCCUAAAAUAUAAGCAGGACUAUCUUUGAAAAAAAAAAAAAAAACAGCCCAUGAAAGUGAAUUCAGGUGAUUAACAUAAAGCAGAACUCGCAUUGUCCUUGUUUUGUUCAGUUCAGCUUGGACCUGUGAAAAUUCUGUCAACCACUGCUGAAAGCCAGCUUUUGGGAACAAGUACAGAAAAAAGAAAAAAAGCCUAAUCCUAGCCCUGCUGCCAAGUGCUUAGAUGACCUUAGAUCAUUUGUUUAGCUCCUUUGGUCUUUGGUUUCCUCCUCUAUGAGCUGGGAACAUCUUAUGGUUUUGAUACAGUUUGGGUGUCCCCUAGAGACCCGUGUACUAGGGACUCGGUCCCCAAAGUCUAUGUUAAUGGUUGGGGGCACCAAGGGCACUGCUGGGCCUGAGAGUCUCUGCCUGCUCCUGUACACUGUGGCUUCCUUACUCCUUAUAGAGCCCCCACCUGCCACAUGAACCUAAGGAUUGCUGGUGUUUUUGUGCCAUCGACACAAGAGUGUUACCUUCUAGAAACUCGGUGGGAGUGAUGGAUGGGUGAGAAACCCAGCUAGGGCACUUUACCUGGCCACUGGCCUUGUGGGUUUGUCACUGUAUCUCAACCACUGCCCACUAGCCACAAGUGUGCUAUGAAGGGCAGUCUUGCAGCCACCACAGAGACUGCCAGUGUCCUGGCUGCCUGCUGACUGGGACACUUGGUAUGUGUUCACUCUCCAGAGUGGUGUGGCAUUGAAAUGGGCUGGAGCAGAUUCUUUUCUCUGGGUGAGCUACCUUUGAAAGGAAGAGAACUACACAGGCAGCUGGAUCCCAGGUUUCCCUGUGGUCUUUGUGCUUGAUGGCGUCUCUUGACUCUCCAUCCUUGGAUGCCCCGCUUCCCUGAGCACCCUCUCCCCUGGGAGUUGGGGUCAGCUAAGGAGACAAGCUUUCUGUGUAACAAGCCUGAAUAUGCAGGGGGAUAAUAGACUGGGCCAGGACAAAUCUGGGAGCCAGGAGCUCAAUCCAGGUCUCCCACCUGGGUGUCAGGGACUCAACACUUAAGUCUUUACCUGCUGCAUCUCACUCCCUCAUGAGUGCGAAGCAGGAAUUAGAAGUGAAGCUGUACCUUGAAGUUAGACACUCUAAUACGGGAUGCAGCCAUACCAAGCAUCAUCUUAACACCUGAGCCAAAUGCCCUCCCUGGUAGGAUUUCAACAUAUGAAUUUGGGGGGUACCAACAUUAGUUGUAUUACAAGUAGAUUGGAAGUGUCAAUGAGACUACAUAUGCAAAGACCUUGUGCAAAGUACUUGGAACGUAGGAAACUCUCUAUAAGCGAGAGUUACUCUUUGACAAAGGAGUCAGUGAAGGCAGAAUGAAGUGCAUGAGACAGGCAUGGUGGUAGAGCAGGUUUGCCAUCCCAGAUGGGCCUGGGCAAGUCUGGGUCCCAAUACCAACUCCACCACUAACUGUCAUGUGGCAUUGGGCAAAUUUGUUAACCUCUCUGAGCCUCAGUUUCCCCUCUUGCAAAACAGGAAGACUGGAGUAGCUGGUUUCUAAAGGCCCUCCUGCUGGGAAAUGUUAGGAGCCCUUUAUAAACAUGCAGUAUCAAUAGAGCUUCCUGCUGUUGUCCUGGUCCUGAAAGGCAGAGACGUGGUGAGGAUGGGAAGGGAGGUGGGGAAGCCAGGGGUGGGCAGGGAAUCCGUGCCACCUCUGGAGUUCCACAGGAGUGGUCGGGCAGUGUGGCCAGGCCUGUGAGGGAGUGGACAGGACGGGCUCUGUUUUCAGCAGGGGGCACGUGUGUGGGAAGAGGAGAGGGAUGGCUGCCCGGGAACCUCCUACCGGAAAAGCUGUCACUGUAGACCUAUGCAGGAUCACUGAGAUGCUUUAAGUAAUUAAUUAGACACAGAGACAGAGAGCUCCCAGUUGUUUAGGAUGUCUUCCCCUUUUCAAGCAUGGGGUGCACCUGAAGGCUCAGGCCCUGCCUGGGACACCCUCAGGGAAUGAGCUGAAACAUUAUUUCCCACUCAAGGUACAAGAAGGACACCCGAGGGGCCCGGGCAGGGCUGGUGGAAAUGCUGGGCCUUGUGAGUGGCAGUGGGGAGGCUGGAGUGAAACUUCCAUGGUCAGAGAGCGAGUCAAGGGCCAGCUUAGCCUGCAGAGGGCUGAGGAGGAAGAAGAGCAGGAGCUGAGGCCCAGACAGAAAAUUAGGCCCUUUUAUGGAGAAGAUCCACAUGUGUGUGUGGUCUGAGGUUUCGUGUGUGGGUUGUGGAUCUGUAGUCUACAAAGCCCACAGCAGUAGUCCCUUGGUGUCUAUAGGGACUGGCUUAGGACCUUCUUAUGGAUGCUAUGCUAUGGAUGCUCCAGUCCCUUGUAGCAAAUGGUGUAAUAUUUACAAACCUACACAUACCCUUCCUGCACGCUUUAAUUCAUCUCUAGAUCACUCAUCAUAUUUAAUGCAGCCUAAAUGUGAUGUAAAGAGUUGUUAUACUUAUCUGUUCAUGGGAUAACGGUGAGACAAAACUCUGUAUGUGUUUAGUACAGAUCUGGUUUUCUUGUUCUGAGCAUUUUCAUUCUGUAGUUGCCUGAAUCCACAGAUGUGGAUCACAUGGACAUAGAGGGCUGGCUGAAUGAGUUAAUACAGGGAGCAGUGAGUUGUGCACAGAGAGGUCUGGUGCCCACACCUCUGCAUCCUUGUUCCACUCUCUCUGUCUCUUUCAGAGUCCUUGGUCUCCAUUAUAGUGUCACAAAAUUGCAGAGACACCAAGCUCCCAGGGGCCUCCCUAAAGCAGGAGCUUGGACUAUGGGUAGACACUGUCCAUCAACAUCCCUUGCUUUAAUCAUAGAAUCCCCUUUGUGUGAAUUGGUCACAAGGCCACCCAGGCAGAGCCUGCAUCUCCCUGCCUCCCUUGCAGCUCCAUAAAACAAGUGACUAAGGUCGAACCAGUUGGGUGUGAACAGAAAUGUUGUGUGCGGGUGACGGUCCCAUCUGUAAAAGGAUGCUGCUAGCUUUCCUCCUUCUCUGUCUACCAUCCCAGGGUAGAACCGGAACUUGGGGUUGAAGGUCCAGUUUCUACCAAGUAUGUGGAAUGACAACAUAAGUAUGGUGAACCAGGGUGACGAGAGGGAGCACAUCCACUGGAACCCCAAGGCCGCCUGUUUGCUUGAACUUCUCAUUAGAGAAGUAGAAACCUAUUUUGUUUAAAUACUUAUUUGAUCUUAGCUUGGGCCUUAGCAGCCACAUUGAUAUCAUUGUUAAUACAGGUUGAUGGGGGGGUAGAAAGUGAAGAAGGGAAUUUGUGAUAGGUCUUGGGACAAUGCUUGAAUUUAAGACACAGCAUCAGGGCAGGCAUUUUUCCUAGCAGUUAAGUCACUGGUUAGGAUGCCCACAUUCUAUAUCAGAAUGCCUGGGCUCAAAUCCCAUCUCUGGCUCCCAGCUUCAGCUUUCUGCUAAUACACAUCCUGGGACACAGUAGCUGAUGGAUCAAAUGGUUGGGUCCUUGACUCCAUGUAGGAGACCUGGAUGGAGUUCCUGGCUCCUGGCUUUGGUUUAUCUUGGAUCUGGCUACUGUGGGCAUUUGGGGAAUGAGUCAGCAGAUUGAAGAUCUUUGUCUGUCUGUCACAAUUUAAAACAAACAAAAAGGCAAAUAUAUAUUUUCUCUGAUAAGUGGUAGUUAAUAUAGAAUACAAAAAAUGUAUAGGAAUGAAAUGGACAUCUUGUGAUUUGAGUGUUGUUUUUAGCCCCUGUUUAUACUCCUCUGGAACUGUGGUCUUUCUACUAUUUACUUGUUGAAUAUUAUGGUUAGUGGUGCAUUAAGCCUGUGAUUAUAGUUUUUGAAAUUAAGUUUUUGAAAAAAUUAAAGAAAGAAAGGAAUGAGGGAGAUUGAGGGGGGCGGGAAAUAGGGUUAUCUUCUUAGAAUUGUACCUAUGAGAUACAUUAAAUUGUUCUCUUUAUAUUAAAAAUUUUUAAUGAAAUAAAAAAGAAUUACCCUACAAAAAAUACAAAGCAGAGCACGGUGCAAAGUCUGGGUUCUGGUGCCUGAGCUGUGAGCCCUGGAGACUGGGUCGGGGGAUGGCAGUGGCUGUUUCACCCCCACAUGUUGCCCUGCAUCUGUGAUGUGGUGGGCCUGGUUCCUGAGACUGAUGUUCUGAGACUCCCUCACUUUGUGCCACUCUGGGUUCUGCACCAGCACCCCUGGUUCAGUUGACAGCUCUCCACUCCCUUCUCAGAGACGGUGAGGCAUCAGCCAGGUAGUCCAAUGAGGCAGGCACCCUGCAAACACUGAGUAGAUGGCCUUUGUAGCUCGAAAUGUGGUGUAAUGUGGACUCUCUUGGGUCCUGUUGUGCAUCCUGUGCUUGAAAACGUACUAUUAGAGUUUCAUUCCCGGAUGUAUGCAUUCUAGUCCUCAAAUGUCCUUCAUUAAAAAGAAGUCCUUCAUUCACAUGUAUCAUUCACUCACCAAACUUGAAUUAAUGCUAAAAGUGAGUGUAUCUAGCUCUGUUUCAGACAUAAAAGACCCAGAAUUGAAUAAGGCUCAGAGUGUCCUAAAACCAUCUCACAAUCUAUGAUGUGUGUGUGUGUGUGUGUGUGUGUGUGUGUAAGACAGGCAGAAAGUGCUGUAACAUGCUUCUCCUUCAGUACAUCUAAGAGUCAAUCUUGCUAACAUGCAGAUUUAGAUCAGUCUUGGGUAGGGCCAGGGAUUCUGUAUUCCUAACAAGCUGGUAAGGGGGUUGCCAAUGCAGCUGGUCCAGGACCAGCUUUGUAUAACAGGGGACCCUAUGAUGACUUUUGUCCCCAGGGUGGAGGAGCCACACAGCAAAAGGGGAGUAAUUGAGUUUUCCUGGCCAGAGGUUGGCAGAUUAGAAGGUUUCCUGAGAGGCUUCACAAUCAAUCCAGGCCUCUGAGGAUGAAUGGGAUGUCAGCAUCAAUAAUCAUCAUGAAGAACAAUUUAUCAUCCUUCCUAAUUUUUUUUUCCAUCACGUUAACAAGAUGUACCAUACAGACAUGUUUGCUUGAGAGUUGGUGUGUGGCAAAAAAUGGGUGAAGUUUAUAGCAACAGUUCUCAAAUUUAUGUAUGAAUAAGAAUCAUUCCAUGGGCUUGUUAAACACAGAUCGCUCAGCUCCACUAUAGAGUCUGUGAUCCAACAGGUCUGGGCUGGAGCCUAAGGAUAGGCAUAUCUAAGUCCCAGCUGAAUUCUGAGAACCACUGGUUUAUAGCAAGAGACCUGUCAGAGCAAACCAGACAAGGGUGACCCUCACUGUGGUAAGGGCGAGGAUUACAGGAAGCAAUCAACCGAGAAAGCAAGAACUGAGAAACUAUGAUAGAGGCACACAUGGGCACGGUUGCUAGAAGCGGUCUUGUUAAGACGCUGAGACCUUGCAUCUCAGCCUAGCACCAGACAUGGAUAUGAGAUCCCAAGAACUGACUGCUGAGUUGCAAGCUGCCCAACAGCAGGUGCCUGAGGCUUGUGCAGAGCCCAAUGGAGGUGGCCCAUCUCCAUGAAAAUUACUUUCUUCCUUCCCCCUCACACUCUCCUAGUCAUGUCAUGUUUCAGGAGUCUGAAUACCUGUCCUACCCCGCCCAGCCUCGAUGGAUGCUACCAGGCAGGGGAUUGAUUGACAGCUCCAGGGUCCUGGUACUUGGGCAGAGCCUCCAUGUGUAGCUGCUUUGGGGUGUGCUGGUUUCCAGGAUGCAGCAGCCUCAUCAGCAUGAAAGAGGCAUCAUACACAAAUAUCGGAAGAAGGGCAGGGAGGCAGGAGGGAAGGGCUGGCUGACAUUUUGGCUGUCCCUGGAUCCUCUGAGAAGAGGACCCACUCAUGCUUGAAUUAAUGUUAAUCCAAGGGAGUAUUUUCAUAAAGUGGCCCCUGGAGCAGGAGUGGCAAGAUGAUGUGUCUCAUAUUUUCUGCUGCCUUUGGCAAGCCACCCCAACGGAGGGACACUGGGGCAUCUCUAUGAGGAAGCCUGCUAAUUGCAUCAUAAGAAAUGUUUUCCCGUUAGCUCAGAUGAAGUUGUCUCUGCAGUCUUUGGGGGCCAGGCAUACUGGGUGCUAUUUUGGGAGUAGGGGGUGGGAGGAAAGGACAUUGAAAGUAAUUGAAAUUUGCAAAUGGCAUUUUCUUGGAUCCCAGACAAAAAUGGGUUCCAAAUGCCCAGCAGGGGGCAGCAAUGCACAGACAUUAAUUCUGGUCAUGUGAACCGGAGCUCCUUUGGCUAUGAAAUAGCCAAGAUCUCAGGAUGGCUAAAGCCUAUUAGAGGCGAUUUCCAGUCCAGGCAAAGCUGGGACUGUCACACCACCCCUUACCACACAGGCACACUUUUUAUUUUUCUCAAUAUGCUGAGAAGUCAGCAAGUGUUGAGGUCUGCUGGGUUUCAAUUCUGGAAAUUUUCUUUAAUCUUUUGGCUGCCUUGUGUAAUUUAGCAUUUCUGCACUCUGGCUGAAAAUUAUAAGUAAACUAGGAUUAAGAAGUCAGCCUUAUUAAUAUGAUAGUUCAGUUAAUAGAUAUUUAAAAAUUGUAAUGCAAUCCAUCUCCUCCCCUGGGUGGAAAUUUUUAUUAGAGCUAUAAUUGACAGAACACCCACACACCAAGUUGGAUAACUUAUUUGUUGAUAUCCAUUUUAAAGCAGCGGAAAAGAGCCUCUGUAAAUGCAAGAAAACAAAUCUCAAAGAAUUGUCAGUUUUUCACAAAUUAGGGCUAGAAAGGACCUAUUAGUUUGUCCAUUCCUAAGACUGUUGAGGAAUGUGGCCCACAAUAUAUUUUCUCAGCAAUUUGUCAAGUUUGCUUGUAAAUGACUUUAAUGAUAGAUGCAUUUGCCUGCUUUGCUGGGCUGGAACAUUCUGCAACCCAGCAUACUUCUCCUUUGGGAAGCUUCUUGCAUCUUGCAUAAUGUUUCUCUCAACCGCCUUCCCCUCCCCACCCCCAAGGUUAAUUUAAUCCUGUUGUUCUUAAAUGAACCACCCUAAAUCAUCCUCCUCCCCUUCUCUGUCUUUCUUCUCACUAUUUAAACCCUUCAAGGAUGUAAUAGUCUGGAAAAUAUUUCAAUCAUCGUGUCUCCUUUUCAGCCAGCCAAUUCCAUUUCGUGCAGCUCAUGGUGAAGUGCAAUUUUUCACAGCAUUGUUUUUAGUUUAAAUAACAGGCAGUGCACAAUUGCUAAAGGUCUUCUGGAACAUUCCACUUGGGGACUUGCCAUUAAAUAAUAUUUUGAUGAAAAACUAAUCCAACUUUCCAUGGGAGGAAAUGCUGCUGGCUCCCAACACUAAUUGGCUAUAAAUUUAACCGAAUGUCCAUCUGUCCUGGGAAUUAGAACAUCUUGUCUGAGAUCCGAGUAGUGCCCUCUAUUAGAUACUUAAUGGAUAGACUUAGUGGAUAAGUACGUGUGUGUAAGUGCAUCACUGAGAAGACAGUCAAGUGAGAGGGAUUUAAUUCUAAGCCAGCAAAAGUAAUUGUUCUCAUUUUUGCCCUGCCUUGCCUCACGUUAGUGCCUCAGUUUACCAGCUCUGUUGCUUGUAUGUGUUAUUCAACCUUCCCAAGACCCAGUGUUCUCAACUGCUCCGUGAGAAAGCAAAUGUUGUGGGUUUGAUGUAGGUAUCAAAUGCAUAUGGGCAGCAUUUAGCAGAGCUGUAAGUCACUAAUAUAAGCAAGUUUUCGCCAUUAUAAUUUCUGUAACUUCCACUCCUAUCGCUGUGCAGUCUGAAUCUUGGCCUGACUGCCUGUCAAAGGCCUUGCCUGCCUGUCCAUUCUCAUUUAAUUUAGGGGAGCCCUCUUGAACUUCCCAAAAUAGGCCUGAACUCCCUGUGAUUCUCUCUCUAAACACACACACACACACACACAUACACACAUAUUUAUAUAUAUAAUGGACUGGGCGUCUGGUAUAGUGGUUAAGACACUGCUUUUAAUGCCCGCAUGCCAUAUCAGCAUGCCUGGAUUCAAGUCCUUGCUCUUCUGGUUCAGCUUUCUGCUAAUCCUGACCCUGGAAGGCAGCAGGUUAUGGAGUUGGGUACCUGCCACCCACAUGGGAUACCUGAAUUGGGUUACUGGCUGCUGGUUUCUGCCUGGCACAGCUCUGGCUAUUCAAGGCAUUUGGGGAGUGAACCAGUGGAUGGGAGAUCUAUGUUUAUCUGUCUCUGUUUCUGCCUUUCAAAUAAAAAAUAUUUUGGCUCUUGGUUUUGGCCUGCUACAGUGCUGGUUGUUGCAGACAUUUGUUGAGUGAACCAGCAAAUGGAAGCUCUCUCUGUCUUCCAAAUAAACAUUUUUAAUUUAUUUUAAAAUAAUUCAUGGGUGUUUUUAUUGUUUUGUUCAUAUGCUCAGUUAGAAUGUGCAAUUACAAGGCUAGGGGCUGAAUCUGCCUUCACUGUGGUCCCAGUGCUUGGAAUAGUAUCCUGUCAUUAGUAAGUGGCAGAAUGAAGGAAUGGGUGAACUGGGACCUUCACUCUCCCACUCUCGCCAUAUACAGUCUUUGCCAAUAUCAGCUACCCUCAAAUCAAAUGCUCUUUUCUUCCUAAAUCCUACCUACCCUUUAAGUCUUAGGGCAGAUAAAGCCCCUCUUCUCUCCUUAAUAGUCCUUUCAAAUGUGCCCUCAUAGUCCAGGCUUGACUAGGAACUCAGAGGUAGGAGUCACAGUCUCCCUUUCAGUAGCGUCUCUGUGGCCACCUGGAGAUGGCCAUGCAGUGUUCUGUGGUGUCUACUGCGGGACUCUCAGAUUGUGGUAUCUUUGGAUUCAAGGUAAGGUCUACUUCAUCUUUGAUGCCCAGAGUGCCUCACAGCCGUGGCCAGUACAUGUGGGCAUUCAAUGGAGGCUUGCCCUGCUGAACAACGUUCUAUAUUUAACAGUCUUUGCCCUCUACUCAUAGAAUGAGGUUUCCUUAAGGAUCCCAGGGACAUUUUCACUGUUCCACAUGACUGAAAGCAAGACCACUACUCCACCAUAUCAGUUUGACUGCUGGUGAUUUUCUUUUCUUUUCUUUUUUAAGAUUGAUUUAUUUAUUUGAAAGCCAGAGUUACAGAGCGGGGGGUCCUCUAUCCGCUGGUUCACUCCCCAACUGGCCGCAAUGGCCAGAAGCACACCAAACCGAAGCCCAGGAGCCAGAAGCCUCCUCCAGGUCUCCCAUCCGGGUGCAGAAGCCCAAGAACCUGGGCCAUCUUCCACUGUUUUUCCAGGCCACAUCAGAGAGUUGGAUCAGAAGUGGAGCAGCCGGGACUCGAACCGGCGCCCAUAUGGGAUGCCGGCAUUGCAAGUGGACGCUUUACCUGCUACGCCACAGCACCAUCCCCUAGUGAUUUUCUUAAUCAAUGGCUUCAGGUUGACUUUUUAAGAUCCUUACUUGAAGAAUCUCAGUAACAAAUAGCCUAGAACAUGACUUCUUUAUCAUUACCUUGUGUGGUGUCAAGAGAUUGGGAUGCCUGUUCAGUGCUCACAAAUAACCUACUUAGUAAUCUGUUUUGCAUUUUUAAAGAGGACUUAGGUCACAGUGAACUGCCAACACAUCUGAAAUCAGCCCAUCUUUUGGAAACUAGGGCAUUACUUGACUCCUGUCUCCUGGCUUCUCCAGGAUUCUAUGGGAAUUGCUAAGAUUCUCUGACAUUUUCCUUGAGCAUUUUCCCACCACUCAGAUGUAAUUUCGCUGUUCUGACACCUAAUUGCAUGGCCAUGGUUAGAUGAUUUCUUACAUCUCAGGUGUUUUCUAGAUCCUGGUUCUAUACUAACCACUUUGAAGACUCUUCCCCUUGCUAAAGAACGCAAAACUGCUUUUGGAGUUUUAAGUCUCUGUAAAACCUAUUAAUUUUGCCAUGUAUUCACCAAUUAGUGCCUUUGUCCCUUGAUUCACUGACUGCAAAUAUCAUUCAAUAACCUUCUUUUGUCAUCUUUUUUGUUUUUCAUAAGCCUCAAUAAAUUUUGGGAUCUUAUCUGAAUGCAAUUCUUGCAAGACCUUGACCUAGUUUUCAAAUUCACCCUGAUGUAUGUGUUUCUCUUUCCAUCCUCUGCCUCUGUCUUAUAAGCACAUGAGCUGAACAGAGAGGCCCCUGCAUGACCUUAGAGUUCCUUUACAAGUUGUCCCUCUCCUGGCUUCUCUCACUGCCUGACUUAAGAGCGGUGGUGUGGUCAGGGUUAUAUUUUAUAGCAGGAAAUUCUAAUUACUGCAUGGUGGCAGCAGCAGCAACUUGUCUAUACAGUCCUCCCAGUCCUCCAAAGCAGCUGCUAAAAGAGCGAUGAUUAUGUAAGCAACAUGGUAUCAAUUUUCUCCCCAGGUGGGCUUGUAUGGGGAACAGAGAACAAAUGAGGAUGACAGUGUUUUCCCUGAAGGAGAAAAAGAGGCCUCAGGCAGGGGCAGUCAGGCAGAGUAGAGUAGCCACAGCAGGUGACAUGCUACACUCACUCUCCAACCUUGAGGGGACCUCCCCAUGGACAUAGGUGGCAGGUGGGGCUUGCGCUGAUCUUCUUUCAGCCCAGUGCAUGGAGUCAGGGUGCCGCUUCAGUCCAUCACUCCCCAGAAUCUCAACCAGUGACUCUGCCAGAAGCAUUUAACUUUGAAUCCUACACCAUCCUACCAGGUAGUACCCUCAAGUCUCCAAACUGUACUCAGAUACUUUUUCACCAGAUCUCCCUUCUUCCUCGUGCUUCUGUUUGUGGACUCCUUUGCCCAAUGUGAUCUACACGUCUACAGGUUUAAUCAGCCAGGAUGGAUGCCACACAGGAGAUUAUGCAAACCUGCAUGGCCCCCCAGACACGUGGUCCCCAUUCUAAGACCCCUCUUCCCAGUCUGAGGCUCUUUAUGUCUCUACUUUGCACCCACUAUUUUCUUCCCAAACCAUGAGCUCUACUUUCAGCUGAGAAAUAAUCCUUAAUUCCUGCAGUAUCAGGAUGCAUAGUUUUGUAUGAUUUCUUUCUCAUUGAAGCUUUAAAUAGAUGGAUAAAGUAGUAAUGUAAAAAUAAGUGUGGAAGGAAAAACCGAAUUAGAUGAUCACCAUUUUGCAAUCCCUAGUGAAACCGAUUCAGGCAGUAAUCAUCAUUUAAAGGCUAUGGGAUAGUAUCAGACUGUCACCUCCUAAAGUCACUGUUCAAUGGUAGCAUCACUAACAGUGGAACAGCAAAUCAUUGGGUGCUUCCCCAAAUACAAACAACCAAGCACCACCUCAGAAGUAUUCUUGCAAAGUAAAGUUCAACCCACAUUGAAUCAGAUAGAAAAACUAAGUUCCAGUUGCUAGAAAUACAGGGCAUAGAAGAAUAAGUAAACUGACUCCAUAAAAAGAGAAGCUGAGAAGUCUAAGAUGUAAGCCAUUCUACCUAAUUACUAGGCCAGUGCAGUAAUCAAGGAUGUGAGACUUGAGAGACAUCACAUAAAUGUCAUGUGAGGUCCUAUGGAAGAUUGUGAUUUGAGGAAGCCAGCUGUGAGCUAGGCAACUGGGGACAUUUGAAAAAAAAAAAAAGAUUUAUUUUUUCAUUUGAAAUAGUGACAGAGAGAGGGAGAGACAAGGAGGGAAAGAGAAAGAGAGAUAGAAAGAGAAUGAAUUUUCCACCUGCACUCCCCAAGGGGCACAAUGGCUAGGGCUGGGCCAGGUCAAAUUCAGGAGCCAGGAAUUCCAUCUCUCUCCAUUCUGGGUGGCAGGAACUCCAAUGCCUGAGCCAUUAUCUGCUGUCCUCCAAGGAUGUGCACUCCCAGGGAGCUGGAUCAGAAGUGGAGUAGCUAGGACUGGAACUGGCACUCUGAUAAGGGAUGUGGGCAUUCCAAGUGGCAGCUUAACACACUGUGCCAUAAUGCCCACCCCAGUUGGGGCAUAUAAUACCAAGGAAUUAUUGUUAAUUUUGUUAGACAUGUAAUUGUUGACUCAGGGAGUUGAGUAUAUGGGGCUUGGUGUCCUCUCUACUUUUUUGUAGGUUUGAAAAUGUUCAUAAUAAAAAGAAAUAUUUUUGUAGGUUAAUAAGUAGAGCUAACUGGCCAGGUGACUUACUGGGAGGGAGGGUGUGAUGUAAAAUGAGUGAAGUGAAUUAUCCUUUAAUUUUUAAUAAAUUGAGAUUCUGGUUUUCAGAUUUAAAAAGGAAGGGAAGUAGGGAUUGUGAUUAGUAGUGGGGUGGUUGGAGUUUUGCCAUGGAGACGUUCAUUUACAGUCCUUGAUUUUAUGAUGGAACCCAAAACACCACACAGCUUCUUCCAGCAGACCCGCCUGGUGGGAGCAGAGGACCACACUGUGAACCCGAAAGGACCUGGGUGUCCACUGAGUCCACGCUUUCCUCUGUGCUGGACACGGCAAGUCAUCCUGCCUGCCGGGAGGCGAAUUCCUCUUCUUUUCAGUUCAUGAGACAGAGCGAGAGGGCGGCAUCCAUUACUUCUCUGUAACAACUCAUGCUGUCAGUCUUUACCGCAGGUCUUCCUGUAAUACUAUGUGUUCCCAGAAACUCUGUUCUGCUCUGUCAGCAGCAUAGAGGAGGAAACCCCCUUCUCAUCCCAGGAAAACCAGCCUUAGCUCGCCCCUUGGCCUCUCUGCCCUUCUCUCUCCUCCCUGGGAUGACUCCCCAGCCCUGUAUCAUUUGGGAGCUGCUUCUCUGUGGCCUCAGGUUUUUGGUCCAACAGAGCUGUGGGAUGGCCCUCUGUUCUGGAAAAGGCUGGCAGCCUUGGGGAGAGGACCCCAGUCCCACAUCUGUACUGGCCGUGACUUUGGGUUUGUGCUUUCCUGACUGUGAGGCCCUUUCUAGCACCGCUCUCACCUCCAAGUCUGAACAUAUUCACCUUGCACUCUGCUCAUUUAGAAAUGGUGAUGCAUUGCAAGACUUCAGGUGCCUGGAUCCCAUUGUUUCCAGAAACCAUUGUGUUGUGAAGCAAUCCAGAAAGUAAAUAAACUUACAAACACAAACCCUUUUGACUGGAAGAGGAUGGUCCUAAGCCCAUCCUAGGAGCACCUGGAAUGCCUGGAGGCAGGGCCAAAGAGGGCCCCAGUAAUGGAGUCAGAUUGCCUGGUGGAGCAGGGCAGCUUGAAUGGCUGAGAAUGUUUCAAGGAUAGCAGUUUUCCCCCACAGUAGAUUGUGGAGGAAGUGAGGGCAGGAGGGAAAGUGGAGAAGAGGAGAGAAGGAUUCAAGGGUUGGGAGUAAGACAGGCAUCAAAACCCAGCAGCUGGAGAUUUUGCCAGUCUGAAGUGUCCAGACUCUCACUAUGGGAGCAGGGUUUCCCUGCCUUCCUCUUCUUUUCCCCCUUCCUCCCUAUUCAGUUUAGUAGCCCUCUUCUGGGCUUAUGGUACCUUCCUCUGGGCUUAUGGUGCUGUAUGCAUCGUUUGGUGGCUGCACUUGUAACCUUGCAGCACAGUAGUCAGCUCACUCAUCUGCCUCUCCUUGACCGUAAGAUUCUGGAGGUCAGGGUACAUCCCUGUCUUCUCUGAUUACUUGGCAGGUGGACUAUGCCUGGCACAAUGCCGACAUUUGGUGCAGAGCUUUGAUGAACUUUGUGCAGGAUUUAUGGGUCUGUGUGAGUUGGUGAGAACAGGAAAAGGGAGAUAUCAGAGUACUCUCCUGAAAGCCCACGCAAUUAUUCAGCUCGGUUGUCUGGCUCCGAAUUCACCACACAGCCCAGAAGAGGCUAAAUCAUGGGAUGAUGAGGUGCUUCAGCCUGGACAAUAAUGAAUUUGCAAGCAGCCCACCAGAGUACUGAGAAAGCCAUCUAUUGUAGAUAGUCUAAUUUUCUUUUAGUGAAAGAUCAAGGACAGAAGCACAAAAAGAUCAUGCUAAUUCUUAAAAGAGAAAAUGGAUAGCUGGCUGACAUGAAAAGGAUGCAUAGAGGGAGGUGCUGCAUCAGGGCAUCCAGGCCUCAGCAAUUCUGGAAGAUGGCAGGGAUGAGUCUGGGACUGAGGGUCACCUGGUAGAGGCACCCACCUCCUGGAAAAUGCACUUGGACUGCGUUGCACCCAUGGUUUCCAUGCAGCUGCUACCAUUGUUCCAAUGUACUUUGAAAAGACCAGAGAAAUUUAUGUGCAAAUGCACAUGGAUUUGUCCUUUGAGACUUACCUAAGGCAUCAGACUGUCAAUCACAGCAGUUGGAAAGCAGCCAACAGAUUAGCAGACUAUCACAGAAUUUUGUGAAUUUUUAAGAAUAAUUUAUUUCUGUUUGUAGUUUACAUAGGAUGUGAGCUCUGGAGGGAAUGUCAGGAAUUAUCCAGUCUAAUUCCUUCAUUUUAUAGAAGAUGAAUGGAACUCAUAGAAGAAUGGCAAUCAUGUUAGAGGGAGCUAGAACUUAGAUGUACUGUUCCUGAUUCCUGUUCAUGGUGAUUGUCCCAUUAUACCAAGUUGUGUUUCUAACUGGAACAAUUUUGUAAUGUCAAUUAAGCUGGGGUAUUUUGGUGAAUUUUGGCAGCCUUUGCCCUAGAUUUUACCAUGCCAUGUUGGAAAGGUGGCUCUGUUGAAACAUCUGAAAAUCUACUGUAGCAGUUUCCUUUGGCUUAAGCGGAGGAAGAAAACAGACUGUGUGUUUCGUUGCUAUAAGCUUGGUGGUUGUAAUAUAGUGCCAUCAGUAUUAUUGAGGAGCAUUUUUGGCUACAAGAAACAGAAAACUCAAACACAGCUGCUUCAGUGAACAUAGGUUCAUUUUUCUGGUAUAAUAAGAAAUCAAAGUAGAGGGCUUUGGCUUUAGUUUAGCAGCUCAAUGGUAUUAGGACUUAAGUCUGAGUCUCUUGACCUUUUCUUCAUUGUCCCAAGAUGCUGCAGCUCCAGCCAUCAGAUCUGUGUUUGAAUCUGGAAGAUAGAGGAAGGGGAGAACCCAGCAUGUUCUCAGGGGGAAAACACUUUUUCCAGAGAAGCCAAGGAGUCUUCUGGUUGGAUUUAAUCAACCAGAAUUGGACCACGAUGCAGAGAAGUUGGGAAAGUGGAGGAAGUCCUAUCGGCUCUGAGCCGUGAUCCGUUCUCCAGGAUGAUGCAAUGAAUCAGAGGUUUCUUUUUUUUUAAAGAUUUAUUUAUUUUAUUUGAAGGUCAGAGUUACACAGAGAGAAUAAGAGGCAGAGAGAGUGAGAGAGAGAUAGAGAAAGAGAGAGAGAUCUUCCAUCCGCUGGUUCACUUCCCAAUUGGCUGCAACGGCUGGAGCUGCACCAAUCCGAAGCCAGGAGCUUCUUCCAGGUCUCCCACAUGGGUGCAGUGGCACAAGGACUGGGGCCAUCUUCUACUGCUUUCCCAGGUCAUAGCAGAGAGCUGGAUCGGAAGUGGAGCAGCCAGGACUAGAACCAGUGCCCAUAUGGGAUGCCGGCGCGGCAGGUGGCAGCUUUACCUGCUACGCCACAGCGCCAGCCCCCAGAGGUUUCUAAUGCUGAGGAAGUACAGGUGAUUGCUGAGAGAGCUCCACAUCUCCCUCUUCCACCCACAAACUGCCCACAUGGCUCACGAGUAUGGGACACAUUCCCAGGAUGCGCUGGAUGCAAGAAUGGCAGUGGAAUUUGUUUCUAGUGUCUGAUUCUGUAAUCUUUUUAUAUCUGUAGUGGGAGAUCAUUUUAGGACCAAAGGCUUAUCUGAGGCUAACAAAAUAAUUCCAUCAACAGAGGUCUAUUGAAUCAGCUCAUGGAAACAAUAAAUGCUGGGAACUCUUUCUGCCCAGAGUGUAGCUCAACUCCUAAACUUAGACCCAAAGGAGAUAUUACAUGAAAAGUUACUAAAGAUAUACCCUAACAAGUCUUUAAAUAUCAUCAUACAAAGAUAUAAUUUUAUUUUUUUAAAGAUUUAUUUUAUUUAUUUGAAAGACAAAGUUACAGAGAGAGGUAUAGAUAGAGAGGUCUUCCAUCUACUGGUUCACUCCCCAGAUGGCCACAAUGGCCAGAGCUGAGCCAAUCUGAAGCCAGGAGCCAGGAGCUUCUUCCGGGUCUUCCACACGGAUGCAGGGGCCCAAGAACUUAGACCAUCUUCUACUGCUUUCCCAGGCCACAACAGAGAGCUGGAUUGGAAGAGAAGCAGCCGGGACUAGAACCGACACCCACGUGGGAUGCCGGUGCUUCAGGCCAGGGCUUCAACCCACUGUGCCACAGUGCCGGUCCCCAAAGAUAUAAUUUUAAAAUGUUGCUUGUGAGGGGCUGGCACCGUGGCUCACUUGGUUAAUCCUCCGCCUGUGUGCCAGCAUCCCAUAUGGGCACUGGCUUCUAGUCCUGGUUGCUCCUCUUCCAGUCCAGCUCUCUGCUGUGGCCUGAGAAGGCUGUGGAGGAUGGCCCAAGUGCUGGGUGCCUGCACCCUCGUCGGAGACUAGGAAGAAGUACCUGGCCCCUGGCUUCAGAUCAGCAUAGCUCCAGCUGUGAUGGCCACUUGGGGGGUAAACAAAUGGAAGGAAAAGGAAGACCUUUCCCUCUGUCUCUCUCACUGUCUAACUCUAUCUGUCAAAUAAAUAAAAAAAAAAAGUGUUGCUUGUGUCUAGCAUUCUGUUAAAUCAAAUGAUAACAGUAGCACAUCAGAGGUACUUUUCAGUUUUUAGAACUUGUCAAAUAUUUGAACAUAACUCAAAUGUGCUAGGGUCUCCUCUAGGCACUUAGGAUAUGUACAUGAGUGAACCAGUGAGAAAAACCACUUGGGGUUCAAGGCUUGGAGCACGUGCUUGCCAAGUUCCUAAGAAGAAACAGAACCAGUAGGAUGUGGGCAUAGGUGUGGUUGUUCCUCAGUGUCUGUUGGGGGUUGGUUUUGGGAUCCUUGCAGAUACUAAAAUCCACAGAUGCUCAAGUACCUGGUAUAAAAUGGUGUAGAAUUUGCAUUUAAUCUUCACACAUCUUUCCAUAUACUUUAAAUAAUCUCUUGUUUACUUCUAACACCUAUCACAAUGCAAUUACUACAAAAGUGGCUCUUAUACAGCAUUGUUUAUAGAAUAAGGACAAGGAAAAGAGCUGUACAUAUUCAGUACUGAUGCAUUUUUUACUAAUAUUUAUGGUUUGUUGAAUCUACUGGUAAAGACUUCUCAUACAUGGAAGUCAGACUGUAUAUGUACACACAUAUGUAUGUCUAUGUCUAUUAUAUAUAUAUACAUAUAUAUAUAUAUAUGAGUACUUCAAAACCUUUGUGGGAAAAAGAGAUAUUUAUUUUGCUGCAAAAAAUUGAAAUCCUUAUGUAGAUUUUUCAUAUAUACACAUUUUUCCACAUGCUUUUUGAAGACCCCUCCUAUGGUGAAUGAGAGAGAUUUCAGGGAAUUUAAGCUUAAGGCUUGGCAUGUCCAAUAUCUGCGGGGUAGGCUUGUAGGCUGGAGUCCCUGUAAGCUUGAGUCUGAAGACUUAUGGAACAAUUCCUUCUUCCUUAGGGGAUUCAUUCUCUCUCUCUCCCUGUUUUUUUGAAGGAUUCAUUCUUUUAAAUACUUCAAUUGUGGCUUGAUUCAAAGUCUACUGAUCUAAUUCUUAAUUUCAUCUAAUAUGAUAUCUUCAUACCAACAUCUAGAUUGAUGCUUGGCCAAGUAUCUGGGUACUUAGGGCUCAGCUACGUUAGCAUGCAAAAUUAGCCAUAACAGUGAGCCAGGCUAUAAGCAUAAUGCAUAAGUAAAGUUUGGAAGAGAUUAGAAGACAGCAAAUGCUAUAAAAAUAGGGCAAGGAAAGUUACUAUUUAAAAUAAAGUGGACAUUGCCUCAGGAAGAAUGCUUGAAUGUGUAUCAAUAGACUUUCCAAAAGUCUUCUCUUCUUACAUUUAAAAAAGUUUUUAAAAAAUUUUAGAAGUGGUACAUCAAAUGCAUGCAUAUUUAGGGGGUAUCAUGAGCUAUGCUGACCCAUGUAUGCACUGUGAAAUGUUCAAGUCUAGAUAAAUACAUUUCUUCAAAUAUUUGCCAUUUCUUUCUGAUUAAAACAUUCAAAAUUCUUUGUUGUAGCUUUUUUGAAAUAAGCUGUUAUCCUUACCUAUAGUCAUCCUGCUGUGCAAUGCAGUAUCAGAACUUCUUUCUCCUUGUACAAUCAUAACUUAGUACUCAUUGAUCAAUCUCUUUUCCCAAAAAUCAUGAAUGAGCAGUUACUACACGUCAAGUGCUGUGAAACGGAGGGGAAGAAGGGGAAGCAGCACAGCUCCUGCCUCAAGAGUCACCUAUCCACUGGGCAAGGAUAGGUCCAGCACGGAUCCUUGAGAGCUGGACUGACUUAUAUCAAGUUCGUACACAUGGAACCUGAACCCAGGCCACUUGAUUUGUCUUCCUGCAUCAUUUUCUGGGAAAGAUGUCCCAGCUGGCCUUGGCCCAAACCCCCUUUGGGGCUCCCAAGUGGAUUCUUGGCUUAGUGAAGAUGAGACCCUCUAUUCCUGAAGAAAACAAUCAGAGACACUGAGGCAGGCAAGUACCAGGUGACAUCAUGGACUGGGGUUCUCUGAGAGCAAUGCAUGCCAUGGUCGACAUUGGCACGAGGGAGUCACAAGGCGGUUUUUGCCACAACAAACCAGAAUGUGACUUCCUGGAGAGCGAGGACCCCUGUUGCAGAUUCCACUUCCCCCAUUCGUGCUGCAGGGCAGGCUUCUUCUCAAAGCCAGGGUCGGAAAUUGCUGCUGCAUUCCCUCAGCCCUGGGGAGAAAGGCUGGUGAUGAAAAACAAGAGGGAGAGAGACUCUUUAGGAGGACAUAUGAUGAGAAAUGGAGCCAUGGAGGAGCUCCUGGCUCCUGGCUUCAGAUUGGCUCAGCUCUGACCGUUGUGGCCAUCUGGAGUGUGAACCAGUAGAUGGAAGACCUCUCUAUCUAUAACCUCUCUCUGUAACUUUGUCUUUUGGAGGAGAAGAGAAUUGGUGGCUGACUCAGAAACCUGACUUCUGCACCUUUUGGAUUUUGUGCAAUGAACAUGUAUGAGGGGCCUUUUAAAAGGACAUGGAAUAUGCAUAUUAUCAAAAGACCAUUAAGCAUGAAUUUCAAAUUGUUUGCACCCAAGUAAGCUUAUCUUUUAAUUCUAGUUUACCACAGACUCAAAAAAUUAUUUUAGUUAUUUGAGAGAGAGAGAGAGAGUUCCAAUCUGCCAGUUCAUUUCCCAAAUUCCUGCAGCACCCAGGGAUGGGCCAGGCUGGAGCCAAGAGUUGGGAACACAGUCCAGCUUCACUGCCUGGGUGUCAGGAACCUAAGUACUUGAGCCAUCACCUGCUGCUUCCCAGGGUGUGCAUUAGUAGCAAACUGGAAUUGGGAGUUGAGCCAGGACUCAAACCCAGAGACUCCAACAUGGGAUGCAGGUAUUACAAGUAGCAUCUCAUUCCUAAGCUGAAAGUUCACUCCACAAACUUUUUGAAGUGCCUUGAUAUUACCUUUAAAUAAGUUAUGCAAUCUGAUGGCAAAGGCUUUUCUGUGCAAAGGGAGAGUCCCUUGAGGCCACAUGCUAGAUUAUAAGCAGCAUGGGCUCAGUUUCAGACAGUCACAGCUCCACCAUUUACCUGGGUGGCUCACUUGUCUGCUCCACAUGUUGGCACACCAGGAAAGUGAGAUGAUCAUGAGAUUGUGCUGAGGAAUGAAUGAGGGGAUUUAUAUAGAUCUUUAAACCAGAAAUCGGUCUGGUAUAUUGGCCUCCUGGGUAUGCUGAAGGCUGUCACUGACAUGCAGCCCUGGGUCUCCAGCUGACAGCGAUGAUGUCCUGUAUAAAUGGGCUGCACAAUCACAACCCACUUCCUUGGUAACAAGCACUUCCUGUUUUUCCUGCUGAGAGAACUGAGGAAUUAGGUGGUCUGUAUAAAAAGAGGACAGAUGUCUAAAGUGAGUUGCAAAUGUUGGCUUUACAGAACGACUCAUUUCUCAAAGGAGCUCCAGGAGCAUUUUUUUUUUUUCAACUCAGGUUAUCUCUUAAAUCAAUGAGUAAAGCUUCUUUUAAAAUUCUUACUUUUAGUGCAUAUGCACUAAAGCAGUUCGUGGAAGAAUGAAAUAAAUAGGUAAUAUUCAUUUUCCAUAGACUUUUUGAAGACCCCUCAUAUCCUAUCUCCCGAAUAAGCAGUAAGCUUCUUUCUGGAAAAGAUGCUGUUUUGUGUAUCUUUGUACCAUUCAAACCCCCAGUCAGGACUGUCACAUUCACCUCCACCUUCAGCCACUUUCAGUACAGAGUAGAUUAGCCAUUUAUUGCUGUGAAUGAAAUUGCCCACAACUUAGUGUCUUAACUAUCAUAGUUUCUGUCUUAACUCUCAUGGUUUCUGCAUUUAAGACUACAGAAAGGACAUGGCUGGGUGGUCCUGGCUCAGGGUCUCUCUUGAAGAUGUACUCAGAAGCCAGCACAGGCAGGCUUCAGCCAUCCGAGGCUUGACUGAGGCUGGGGAAUCUGCCAAGACGGUGCACUCCUGUGAAUGGCAAUUUGUUUGCUACUGGCAUCUCUGUUUUAUUUACAGGGGCUUCUCCACAAGACUACUUGAGCAUUCUUGUAGCAUAGUGGUUGAGUCCCCCAGAGCAAGUGUCUUAAGAGAUCAGUGGAAUCUGUGAUGCCUUUUAUGACCUAGUUUCAGAGAUCACUCAUUAGCAUUUCUGGGUACUCAAUAGGUCACACAGACUGCCCAUGACUCAAGGUAGAGGGAGACUAGAAAAAGGCAUGGAUACCAGAAUACAUGGUUUGGGAAUCAAUGUGGAUGUUGAAUGUUCCCCCAAAGCUCAUGUUUUAAAGGCUUGGUCUCCAGGAUGGCCCCACUGGAAGUGGCAGGACCUUGACAUGAGGCCUAGUGGGAGGUCCUUAGGUCAUUGGAGUAUGCUAGGAUUUUUUUAAAAGAUUUAUUUAUUUACUUGAAACUCAGAGUUACACAGAGAAAGAAGGAGAGGCAGAGAAAUAAAGAGAGAGAGAGAGAGGUGUUCCAUCCGAUGGGUCACUCCCCAGUUGGCCGCAAUGGCUGGAGUUAUGCCGAUCUAAAGCCAGGAGCCAGGAGUUUCUUCUGGGUCUCCCAUGCGGGUACAGGGGCCCAAGGACUUGGGCCAUCUUCUGCUGCUUUCCCAGGCCAUAGCAGAGAGCUGGGUUGGAAGAGGAGCAGCCAGGACUCAAACCAGCGCCCAUAUGGGAUGCCAGCACUUCAGGCCAGGGUGUUAACCCAUUGCGCCACAGUGUCGGCCCCUAUGCUAGGAUUUUUAUAAAAGCCUCAAUUUGGGCCAAAUUUUUCUUUCUCUUUGCUUCCUAGAACAUCAUGUGACCCUCUACUCAAGCCCCACAUUUGCUGUCUACCAACUUCACCAGAGGCCAAACAAAUAGAACCUGAUCAAUCUAGGGCCUUGGACUUCCAGAACCACAGGCCAACAUAAACCUCCUUUCUUUAUAAAGUUAGACUGCCCCAGGCAUUUCAUUACAGUAACAAAAAUCUGACUAAUACACAGGGAUUACUCUAUAGGCCAUAUUCAAUGCUAACUCUAACACAGAGUUUAGAUACAUGGUACUUGGUAAGCACCUGGUAAUUUAUUGAUUAUAUGGCAUGAGUAUGUAUAAUGUGCAUUUAAAAUAUAAAUGAUAAAAGGUUAAAGUUUGCUUUACUUUUGAGAGAGAGACUAGCCUUGAACUUGAGUGUACGUUAGAAUCACCUGGAGGGCUUAUUACACCAUGUAUUUCUGACCCCUCCUGAGAGUUCCUGAUUUGGUGAGUCUACUGGUGGUGGAUGCAGUGGGAGAAUUUUCAUUUCUAACAAGUUCCCACAAGAUAAUGCUGCUGCUGCCUGAGGGUCACUUUGACAUCCAGGAUUCUAAUUCAUGUAGAUAUCCUAGUAGUUCUUUAAGAAAAUCUGCUCAGGCCGGCGCCACGGCUCACUAGGCUAAUCCUCCGCCUGUGGCUCCGGCACCCUGGGUUCUAGUCCCGGUUGGGGCACCGGUCCUGUCCCGGUUGCUCCUCUUCCAGUCCAGCUCUCUGCUGUGGCCCAGGAGGGCAGUGGAGGAUGGCCCAAGUGCUUGGGCCCUGCACCCACAUGGGAGACCAGGAGGAAGCACCUGGCUCCUGGCUUUGGAUUGGCGCAGCACGCUUGCUGUAGCGGCCAUUUGUGGGGUGAACCAAUGGAAGGAUGACCUUUGUCUCUCUCUCACUAACUCUGCCUGUCAAAAAAAGAAAAAAAAAUAAAAUCUGCUCAAAUGAAGACCAUCCUUGGCCUUGCAGACCCGAAUGCCCAAACUGUAAAGUUCAAUAAGUGUAUGAUUCAAACUUGGGCUUCUCCAAGUGAUGCAGAGUUGAUGUAACUGUGUAAAUCAGGAAGAAGACAACACACAGACAGCUCUAAGCACUGUUGUGCUGGAAACUGCCCCCUUCAAAAAGACACAGUUGCCCUUUGACCUACAAUGGGGUUACAUCCACAAAAACCCAUCAUAAUUUGAAAAUGUCCUAAGUUGGAAUUGCAUUGAAUACACCUAACCUAUCCAACGUCCUAACUUAGCGACACAGUGCACUGUAGAGUCUUGGUGAUUUUUCCUUUCAUUUGUAGUUUUUGCCAAUUAGCCUAGCGUAAAUGCACCAUGAUGGCCAAUUAUCAAUAGAUUAACAACUAGCUCACAAAAAUUCCUGGCUUUUUACAGUUCACUCUCCAUAGUUGGCACAUACUGGACCCUGGCACACAUUGGCUCUAAGUGAGUUCUUUCCCCAUCCAGUGUGAUUUUGAGAACGCUGUAGUCUAGGUGGGAUUGGGGAUGAUCAGGUGAUUCUAACUGCCCAUUCCUUGCACAUAGAACAAAGAUGUCAUGUACCAACCUUGAUUUUCUUCCCACCUAGAGUGCUUGAGACUUCCUAGAUUGGCUAACGUGGUAAGAUGCCACAUGAAGUGCAGGCAAAUCCAUGCAGCAUGAGCAAGUCCAAAAUGGAGCUUUCCAAUUUCUCCCCAGCCACAUCUGCUCUUUAAUCUACCCCCAGUUUCCUGCUCCUGGCUUCCAGUGUUAAUCAAUCACAACCUCAUAGAGAUUGCUCACAGACCACUCUGACCUUCCUUCCCUUGGAAAACACCAAGGUUCCUCUCCUCAUGGUGGAUGACAGGAGAUCUAUUACCAAAGUGUGCAUUUUGAGUUGCAGAGAUGCCGUAUGGGUAUAGUGUCUGACUGCCUAUAGAAGUUGGGUAGAAAAUACAUUUGGCAAUUCAUCUUGUGGAGGGCUGGUGACAGCUCUUCAAUUUACUGGGUUGAACUGUUGUUUAAACCUUAGCUUUAACUUAUAAGCUUCUUGAUGGCACAAACUUGUGUGUGUGUGUGUGUGUUCCCCACGGCUACCACAGGAACUUGGGUAAAAUGCACAAUAAGUAUGUAAUGAGUUCCAAUUCAGAAUUCUCUGCAUCAUAGACAACAUUAUCAUCUAUUUUUUAAAAAAUGAUUUAUCUAUUUCUGUAUUUGGAGGAGAGAGUGACACAGGGGUAGAGGGGGAGAGAGAGAGAACACUCUUCCAUUUGCUGGCUUACCCCCCCCCAAAUGGCCACAAUAGCUGGAACUGGUCCAGGCCAAAGCCAGGAGCCUGGCACUCCAUUGAAUCUCCCAUGUGGGUGGCAGGUACCCAAGCACUUGACCCAUCUUCUGCUGCUUUCCCAGGUGCAUUAGCAGGGAGCUGGAUAGGAAGCACAGCAGCCAGUGUUGCAAGCAGAGGCCUAACCUACUAUAUCACAACACUGGCCUGGCAUCUAUUUUUUUAAUAAAAUAUUUAUUUAUUUAUUUAAAGGGGACAUUGACAAAGAGAGAAAGAGAUAGAUAUAUAGAUAGAUAGAUAUCCACUAUUUGACAGUUCACUUCCCAAAUGGCCAGAAGAACUCGGUCUGGACCAGGCUGAAACCAGGUGCCAGGAACUCCACCCUGGUUUCCCACAUGGGUGGCAGGAACCCAAGGAUUUGGCCAUCAUCCGAUGCCUUCCCAGGUGUGUUAGCAGGAGGCUGGAUUGGAAGUGGAGUAGUGGGGACUUGAGCCAGCUCUCUGAUAUGGGAUGCUGGUGUUGCAAGGGGUGGCUUAGCCUGCCGCAGUGUAAAAACAGACCCAACAUGGGCAUGUUAAUAUGGAGUGCUUCAGUUGCAUUCGUGUUGAAGAGUAGGUAAUAAGGAAUCAUUUUUUGAUAGGAGAACGUGUUGGGUACUCCAUAAUGCUUCAUUUUUGGUAUAUAAAGAGCAUGUUAGAAAAGCAGAACUCAUGCCAAGCUAGUAGAAUAAAAAAGAAAAAGCAUGGCAUCCUUGGAAGGUAGUCUGGCCCUAGUGGGGGUGGGGGCAUCUUCUUUAAUAGCUUUACUGGCUGUGGCAUACUGGGAAAUUUUCCUAGCUUCUUCAAGCCUCACUUACUUGGGCUGUAAAUGGGACUAGCACCAUUCUGGCAGGAUUCUUGUGAGAAAAAAAUGGAAUAAUUGGUAAAAAGUGCUAGAAUGGAGCCUGUGCAAAAGGACAGUUGUUUAGCCUCUCACCCCAAAGUCCUUACUUGAUUGAAAGAAUCCCACACACCUUUUCCAGAUGCAUCAAGGCCCAUAACUCUGUGUCUUGACAAAUUCUCAUUUAUUUGAGGGUGCAUGGAUUUUUGCUAUGAAUGUCUAAACAUUUGCAAUUUCUAAGGCAGCACUAGAGACAGGGAUCAAAUCUUCUCCCACACAAAGUGACUGGCAUGCCCUAAUGAGCUGGGGGCGUGGGGAAAGUAUUUUGAAUAUUAGCACUUCUGAGAAUGUUGAGAUGAAGGAAAAAAUAAGCAAUUUCUUCAAGGCCUAACCUGAUUAACAAGAUGAUGGGCUUGAGAUAACACGGAGAUGAGUUUCUUUGCUCUCUCCCUAGUUCCCAAGGUUCCUGGGUUGUUUGCACAAAAUAGCAUGUAUGAAGCAUCAGUGGUCAGCAAGGAGCCCCAGGUUUCGGAAGGGCAACUCUAAAAGAGAGGGGCAGAUGUGGAGGGAAGAGCUCAACAUUUAGCAGGUACUCAAUAGGUUGUCCACAGUUAACACAGACUUCAUGGCUCAGCUUCAUGAAAGGUAAAGUCGGAAACCUGUUCCUUCUUGUUGGAUCAGAAACGUUUAUUAACCACCAUCUGUGUGCCAAGCUCCAGAGGGAUAACAGAAAGGCAAAGGACCUGAUUUUCAUACCCAGGAACUUACAGAGUAGAUUAAGAAAAAGGUCACAGAUGGUUGUGGUUUAGUUGCCUGUCCUUUAGUUAGAAAACGAAUUUCAUCUCAGAAAUAGGAUUUUCACACUUGGAAAAUUAAGUAAUGAACUUCUAAUGUUUUAAAAUUCUACAUUCCUUUAUAGCCACUUAGGAAAAGAGCUGCCAAGAUUGGGACCUGAGAUCUUAACUGUCUGUGGUAUGUAAACAUUUUGAAAGAGACAGGGGUUUUUGAAUUUCUAUAGAAAACAAUAAAAGAAACCCUUUCCAAAAUUGGGGGGGGGAGUAAUAUCAGACACGUGCCAGGUGAGGAACUUAGUGCUUGAAUUAUAACGCCAUUAAACUAACCAAAAAAACCAAGCAUGAUGUUCUAUGUGUAGAAAAUGGUCUCAGUGCUUGGGUGGGGAAGCUGAGCUGUGAUCCAGGGGCCUGGGUUUCAUUUGCUGGACACGCAGGGACAUUACAGAGUGCUGACUUCAUGUGGGCCAUGUUGGGUGCUUAGAAAAACAAAAGCAAUGUGGCAGCACGCAGAUGAAGUUCAUGCAAACACAUCCAAGCAGGCAAACAGUUCUUCCAAGCACAGUCUUAGGAGGAGUGAGAGAGGAGGUACCAUUGUUCUUUUAUUUUUAUUUUAAUUAUUUUUGACAGAGUUAGACAGUGAGAGAGAGAGAGACAGAAAGAGAGAAAGGUCUUCCUUCCAUUGGUUCACCCCCACAAAUGGCCUCUAUGGCCGGUGCGCUGCGCUGAUCUGAAGCCAAGAGCCAGGUGCUUCCUCCUGGUCUCCCAUGCGGGUGCAGGGCCCAAGGACUUGGGCCAUCCUCCACUGCACUCCCGGGCCACAGCAGAGAGCUGGACUGGAAGAGGAGCAACCAGGACAGAAUCUGGCACCCCAGCCGAGACUAGAACCCGGGGUGCCGGCACCGCAGGCAGAGGAUUAGCCUAGUGAGCCGCGGCGCUGGCCGGUACCAUUGUUCUUAGAAAGGAAUCAGUUAGGAAGUUAGGAGCGACAGGCCAGUACUCCAAGAGACCAGCAUGCACAUUUCAUGGCCUACUUGGAUAGGGAACACUAUGGUUGGAGAAAACCUAAAGCACAAUUUCUCAAAUGGUGUGCUGAGUUCCAGUCACCUGGAAGCCUUGUUACACCUUGAUUCUCAGCCAGGCAGUCUGGGGCGAGACUUGAAAGAACACACUUGUUCUUCAGCAUCUGCAGGGAAUUAGCUCCAGGAUCCCCCAUGGAUAUCAAAUCCAAGGUUGUUCAAGCCUCUUAUAUAAAAUGGUGUAGAUCAACUGAUGUGCAUCUUCCUGUAAACUUUAAAUCAUCUCUAGAUUACGUAUAAUACCCACUAUGAAAGAGAGACUCUGUAAGUAGUUGUCAGACUGUAUUGUUUAGGGAAUAAUGACAAGGAUAAAAAAGUCAGUACACAUUCCGUACAGAUGCAUUUUUCACACAUAUUUUCAAUCUGUAGUUGCUUCAAUCAGCUGAUGGGGAACCAGGGAUACAGUAGAUGACUGAACUUUCCUAAUUCAUUCCUGGAUGAUGUCCAGGCCGGUAGCCCACUCUGUGUAGAGGGGUAGUGGAGCCUGAGGUGUAGGAGCAAAAACGGGGGGUGGGAUACAGGACGGUGAGGACUUGUCACACUGGGCGAUUGCCCUCCCCUUGUACUUUUCAGCUGUCCCCACCUGCACAGUGGUAAUAGCGUCCAUAGGGCUCCAGGCUCAGCUGGGCUUCCAGUGCUGCCUGCCAUCCUCCCCAGCCAGCUCUCUCUCUCAACCCCAGGAGCAGCAGUACUAAAUGUUUAGUACUUUCCUUUCCAAACCUUGCACCCACCACUUGUCUUUACGAUAUUCUCCCCUCCACAAGAGGGUGAGCCUCUGGCAUUCUCUAGAAGGUAGCCUCUCCUUCUUUUGGCCUCCUGUGGGCCCUCAAUGCAUCCGUCACUCACCUAUGCAGCUCCCAUCUCUUCCCUCCCCCGGCUCCUCUACCAUCAACCUGUGUGGUUGCCUCCUAUUUUACAGCCACCCUGCAGAGAAACUGGCCUUGAUCCUGGAUUCCCCUCUGGCUACAUUGACAUUCCUCUCAAAACCUGAUCGCGUCAAAGAGCAAACGCAUACUGGCAAUUUCUGUCUUCUCAUCUGUUUUCCACAGCCCACCACUAUCUGAUGGCUCCCUGUUCCACUCCACUGAAAUGGCUUGUCUGAAGUUAACAGCCGCCUUCUAGUGUCCAAUCAGGAAUUUCAGUUCUGCUUUGAUUAGUCACCCAUGUUGGUCACUGGUGCCUGAAAUCUCUCUCCCCAUGGCUCUUCAGGUUCCCUUUGUCUCCUCUUUCCUAGCCUCCUUUUCCUGCUGCCACUACCCCCUCCAGUCCUAACAGCUGGCACUUCCCAGAGUUCUGGUCUCCACUCUGUUUUUAUUACCUAAACCCACACAUCCUCACUUGGGCAAGUCACUGUUACCUGAGCAUGCACCACUCUUUCUGCGCUGUUGACCCAGGAGCUUGGUAUUCCUUUGUACUGGAUUGUGCGAUUUUCUAGGUGAUGGUGUUGCCACCUUCUUUUCUUACAAAUCCCAAACCUGAGUUAUGCUUAACUCCUCUCCUUGCCCACCUGCCAUCGGCAAUGGUCCAUCCACUGGGAGAGAGACACAAAUAUACUCACAGUCAGACACACACUCAGAAAGAGAGAAGGAGAGGGAAAAGGAGAGGGAGAAGGAGAGAGAGAGAGAGAGAGAAGGAGAGAGAGGGAGGGAGGGAGAGAGGAUCAUACGGUGAGGAAUUGGCUCAUGCAGUUGUGGAGGCUGAGAAGUCUCAAGAUGCACAGAAGGCCAACUGGAGACCCAGGACAGCCCAUGGGGCUGUUCCAAUGCAAGUCCAAAGGUCUGACACUCAGAAAAACUGGUGGUAGAAGUUCUGGUCUGGAAGCCAGCAGCUUUGAGACCUAGGAAGAGUUGAUGUUAUGGUCCAAAUCCAAAGACCAGAGAAGACCAGUGUAUCAGCUAAAGUGGUCAGGCAGGAGGAAUUCCCUCUCAGCCUUUUUGUUCCAUUCAGCUUUUCCGUGAGUGGGAAGAGCCCCCCACCCCUGCCCCUCCACACUGUGGAGGGCCAUCUGCUUUACUCAGUCUGCCAUCCGAGUAUCAAUGCCAUGCACAAACACCCGCACAGGUACACCUAGAGUCGUUUUUGGCUAAAUGUCUGGCUAUCCCUGGCCCAGUGUAGUUAACACGUAAAAUUGACAUUCACAGAGAACUGCUCAUCAUCCAGUUGCCCAGGACACACCCCAAACUAAUUAUAUUAGGAUUUCAGAGGGUUGCUGGGUGUUGCUUAAAGCUCUGCCGAUGAUUCCGACAUUCAGACAAGGUUAAGAGACACCACUUUAAUCUCUUCUCCCUCAAAUCCAUCCUCUGAACUGCUACUAAAGUGGUUUUCUUAAAACUGAAAUUGGAUUAAGCUCGAUGCCCUGCUCAAAAUCCUUCAAUAACUUUCCAUUGCUUUUGGGAACAUUUUUUGAUGCUAUAUAUACAAGCCUCGUGGAGUGUUUUAGGGGACCCUUUCAUAAUCGGCACUGCCUCCUGAGGGCCCAUCAGGGCACUGUACCCGGUCACUCUGAUCUUCCUCCCAGGCAUUCUCAGGACUCUGCAUUGGCUGAGGCUCACCGCUCUGUCCAGAGUGCACGCCUUCCCCCACCCCAUGCCUGACCAACUCUCUUCUCUGUUCCUUAUGAUCUUAUUCAGGUCUCAUCUCGGACAGCCUCACCCUAGGUUCAGUAUUCCUUCUCUGGGCAUCUAAAUACCAGAUCCACAGCUAGAAUCAGCCAUGCACUAGACAUGAGAUAUAUGCAAAUGAAUGAAUGGAUGGAUGCAUCCAUAUCCUUUUACAUCUCUAAUGUCAUUACCAGCUUCUGUAAUAAAAUAGGCAGAAUUGAAAGCUACUUAAGUUGUUAGGACAAAAGACUGAGGCAAAACUUUAGGGCAAAGUCUAUGCUGUAAAGAUAUUUCUCAUAAUUAGAUAAAUGCAAACACAACAUAGGUGAAUAUGCUGCACCAGAAAGGGCCACACCAUCCCAUAAAAGGCUGGCUGAGGCCGGCACCGCAGCUCACUAGGCUAAUCCUCUGCCUGCAGUUCCGGCAGCCUGGGUUCUAGUCCCGGUCGGGGCGCUGGAUUCUGUCCAUGUUGCUCCUCUUCCAGUCCAGCUCUCUGCUGUGGCCCGGGAGGGCAGGGGAGGAUGGCCCAAGUGCUUGGGCCCUGCACCCUCAUGGGAGACCAGGAGGAAGCACCUGGCUCUUGGCUUCAGAUCAGCGCAGCACGCCGGCCAUAGAGGCCAUUUGUGGGGGUGAACCAAUGGAAGGAAGACCUUUCUCUCUUUCUGUCUCUCUCUCUUACUGUCUAACUCUGCCUGUCAAAAAAAAAAAAAAAAAAAAAAAAAGGCUGGCAGUGUUUGCUGCCACAUGGAAGUUGUCCCUGUCCUCUGUCCCCAGUGUUACAAAGUGGGUCCUGCUACAUUGAUGCCAGUGUUUACAUUCCAGAGAUGAACUUGUCAGUGUAAAUAAAAACGGAAAAUAAUCAGAGAGAGAGGGAAACUCUCUACAGAAUACUGACAUUUAUUUGGCAACAGGCGAGUACUGUGAUGGGAAUAGCAGAACGUUGUAAUGGAAGUAAACUAUGGGCAUAUUAAAGAGAUGGAGGCGAGGCAAAGUCUCUAAAGACAACACUGAGGUGGAUUAUAUUAGAAAUUUUGAAAUAACAAGCUUUGGUCACGAUGAUUUAAUGAGCAGGAUGAUGUUAGUCUGAGGCUGAACGGACAGUUGCUGGGCAGAUGUCCUUGUAGAAGUGCUUUUUUGUAUAAGGUUGCGGUGGCCUCUGUGUAAUGUGGUUCUGGCAGAGUGUUUUGUGAUAGUUAGCAUCAGGCAUUUGUUCAUCAGAACACUUGCUUCAUAACAUCCUGGCUUGCUUAUUUAUUUAUUUAUUUAUUUAUCUACUUAUCUAGCUACCUUAGGGUUGGCACAGAGGGUUCUGUUUUCAUUCUGAACACUUUCACAUUCCUUUCGCAAGGUCAAGACUGGGCUCCUUUAAGAAAGGAGCUUUUAGACCUCAGGACAAGCACAAGCACAAACAUAACAAAGCCUCACUGAUUCCGAAUAGAAAGAUCUCAAACAGAACAAAUGUUGAGAGGUGGUCAUUAUAUUUACCAUUGGACUAUUUUUUAAAAGAUUUUAUUUUAUUUAUUUGAGAGGUGCAGUUAUAGACAGUGAGAAGGAGAGACAAAAAGAAGGGUCUUCCUUCCAUUGGUUCACUCCCCAGAUGGCCACAACAGCCAGAGCUGCACCGACCCGAAGCCAGGAGCCAGGUGCUUCUUCCCAGUCUCCCAUGCAGGUGCAGGGGCCCAAGCACUUGGGACAUCUUCCACUGCUUUCCCAGGCCAUAGCAGAGAUCUGGGUUGGAAGAGGGGCAGCCGGGACUAGAACCGGCACACGCCGCAAGCGAAGGAUUAACCUACUGCACCAUGGAGCUGGGCCCUUACCACUGGAUUCUUACUUUUAUCAAAGGCCUUUCUCCCACAGGGCUCUUUCAAAUGCAUACUUCCUUUGAGUAUUUAAAAUUAGCACCCAGUUUACAAAGAUUGAGAGCAUGUGAAUCCACUCCAGUGUAUGUGACUUGCAAAAUGAGAUCCAGCCAUCUGUGCCUCCCUCUACCUUGUGAACAGGGAUAGGAGACUCACUGGGAGAGCUGAUAAAACAGGUGGGAGCCCAGGUUUUUCAAGGUAGGGCAGCCAUAGACCAUCCUAUUCUUCACAAAUUCUCUGAGAGUCUGAUCCUUGUGAAGGCUUGAGAACCCUCAGUCUACUGUGAGGGUGACAGCCGUCUCAUUGUGAUUGGUUACAACCUCCAGCUCAACGCUGUCAAUCCUGGUUGUGUAUUAGAGUUCUACCUGGAGGACUUUGAAAACUUCUAUGGCCCAGGCCUUACCGUAAGCCAAUUGGAUGAGGCUGUCUGUGAGUGGGCACAUGGUUACCUCAAAAAUUUUGCAGAAAAAUUGAAUUAAAAGAUGUUUAUUUUGGUGCAAAAAAUUUUGAAACUCAUAGUUUUUUUAUAAUAAGCAUUUUCAUGAACUUUCUUGAGACUCUUUAUAUACAUGGAUUUUUCCUCUGCAAAAACAUAAGGAUAUUUUUUAAUUCCAUCUUUCCAUGAACUUUUUGAAGUGCCCUUAUGUUUUUAGAAGCACAGAUUGUCCUAAUGAAUAAUCUGGAUUGGACAUUGUCCCUCUAGUUUACUGGUUCUUAAACAUGGCUUCAUACUGGAAUCACCUGAGGAGCUUUAGAAAGUACCUGGUACCCAGGUCCCAACCCCAGGGAUACUGCUGUGGUUGGUAGGGAUGUGGCCUGACAUCCCCAACAGGAUUUGUCAAAGUUCCUGUAUUAGUCGGUUUUUUGUUACUUUAACUAAAAUACCUGGAAGGGGCAACUUGGGAGGGGAAAGGGUUUAUUUCUGCUUACAGUUUAGAGGUUCACAGUCAGAACGGACAGCCCUGUUAGUCUGGAAUCUGAUGGAGGUUGACAAAGGCUGAGCUGGUAUGGAUAGAGGAUCAACUGGUGAGCCAGGCAGCAGGAGGCACAGGGAGCACACUCCUUAUCGACUUUCUCCUUAGAAAGCCUAUAAGAUUCAAUCAUGCGCUCCCCUCUAGCAGCCUAGUCCAAUGCAGUUGUUACCCAGAGGCCCCACCUUUAGACACCAUAGGUGGAUCCAGCCUCUACCAUGACCCCACGAACAUUAGCGUGAAUUCAUUAGCUAUUAACAUAAGAAUUUAGGGUUUCAACAUUUGCAUGAGUCUGAGAUGCCAAAUCUUGCUCAAUCCAUGGCUGCUCCCCAGGGAUUCUCACACACAGAAGGUAUAGGAAUCUGGUUACAGUUCAUCCUCUCUCUGCCUCUCCCAGGAACCCCAUUUCACCCUGAAAAAGAAACCCAUUGUCACUAGCGGGUGAGAAACCCUGCCUGUUAGGAACUUAAUAAUGCUCCUGGCUGGCUGAAGUGACUUAGAUUGGAGAUCCCUGGAAACAGCUGUUGUGCAUGGAGAGAGGUAUGGCACUGGUUGCGGAUUAAACCCUUUGGUCCUGAGGACCCUGCUGCCUGUGCCACCAACUGAGCAUCUCUGAGCUCCCUGAGUGCCCUGAUAGUGGCCUCCUUCCCUGGAAACAUGCAAAUAAUAAAGAGACUUUGUCUAAUAAACAUAAGUACUAUAAAUUUCUGGAUAAUCACUAAUGUUAUUUCACUCCUGCUCCUCUCAUUCUGUGCCCAGAUCAUUUUCCCUCUGUAUUUCCCUAUUAAUAGAUGUCCACCUUGAGUUAGUGGCCUGUCCUGGGCAGGCAGAGAGGAGAGGGCCUCCUCUUCUUAUCCUCAUCCCACCUCUACCUCAUGUGCUCUAUGUGGCUUGUGCCAGGUUGGUAGGUUCCAGCACCAUCUUGAAAAUGGAUGUGCUGUGUUGUCCAAAACAGAUUCAGAUGGUGUCCCUCUCCAUCAAGUCUUACAAGUCCAACAACUCCAAGGGCCUUCUCUCCACAAGUCUACAAUUCAUUCAUGAGGAUUCUCAAUAUAUGGUUUUUAAAUAUAGUUACUCAUGGGUAUACUAGGGUCUUGAACAUAGCACAGGGGUUCUCAACUUUGCCUACAUAUCAACAUCCUGAGCAGUUUUAACAAAUAUUGAUGUCUGGACUGAACCCUAGAGAUUCUGAUUUAAUUAUAUAGGAGUCAGCCAGGGCAUUAAGAUUUUUUUUAGAAGCUCCCAAGUGUUUCAUUAUUCAGCCAAGGUUGGGACCACUGACAUUUGUUGAUGAGAGGAACUGGGAAAAGAGGCGUGGAAGGACCCCCAUGGAGAAACAUCUCCCAAGUUGCAAUCUUCCGUGGGCUGACACUCCCUGUGAAUCUGCAAAGGCAUCUGUCCCAUUGACAUUCUUUAUGGGAACAUAUGGUUGGUGAGUUUUAUAGGAGACCAGAAGCAGGGUUAGACCACAGAAUAGCCUCAAAACCGGGUGUAUUUGUGUUGUUUCAUGAGGAGUAUUCUCCUAGAGCUGCUGUCCUAUGGCUUACACUGUAGUCCCCUCUUCUGUGAUAUUCUUUGGGUACCAUGAAUGCAGAAGAAAAGCCAUAGUAUUAUGAUGUGGAUGGGACUUGGGAGAAGUGGGUGGUAUGUAGGAUACCUUGUGAUGAGCCAGUACUAAAGGGGUUUAGUUACAUGCCUAGGCUCCACACACUGUGGGACCCUUCCAAAUGCACAUUCCCUGGUCUUAGUCUAUGAGAUUUUCCUCCAUCUGCUUUCUCUCCAAUGCCCUUUCUUUUCCCUGAACAUUUCCCUGCCCUAUGUUUCUUACCUUCAGAGUCUUGCCAAGGAUCUGGGUAUGACAGCCUCAACUGAUUAUUUACCCAAUAGCCAUCUCCCUCUGCCUUCUUUCCUACCUAUUGGAAAAACCUGCAAUUUCUUUGGGCAUCUGGCCCAGCACCAGGUGGUGAAUCUUGAUUGGUCCAAACAGUGGUUUUCCACUCUGGCUGCAUUUAGAAACACCUGAGGUGUUCUAAAAAAAAAAAAAAAAAAAAAAAAAAACAAACAA